rnacentral:tRNA from 1 species
GCCGAGGUGGCGGAGCCCGGAUAAACGCGCACGCCUGGAAAGCGUGUUCCCUAACAGGAGCUUGAGUUCAAAUCUCAACCUCGGCG